rnacentral:rRNA from 1 species
AUGCAGAUUCGUUUCGGUCUACUUGUUAUGGACGUGAUGCCUAUAUUCAUGAUCAUUGCCUUAGAUAUCAUCAUAACUAUGCGCUUUUCUAUCAAUUACUCGGCAUUAAUUUCUUCACCCAUCAUAAUACAUGCUAUCUUGAGAGAAGCCACUAGUCAAACCUAUGGCCCCCGGGUCUACUUUACAUCAUAUAAGUUUCCAAUCUACAAUUCUAGUUUACUAUUUAUUUUGCAAUCUUUAUUUUCCAAUCUAUACCAAAAAAAUACCAAAAAUAUUUAUCUUAUUAUCUCUAUCAGAUCUCACUUUCGUAACUGA